rnacentral:rRNA from 1 species
UACAGAGGUCCCAAGCGUUGUUCGGAUUCACUGGGCGUAAAGGGUGCGUAGGCGGUCGGGUAAGUCUGAUGUGAAAUCUCACAGCUUAACUGUGAAACUGCAUUGGAUACUAUCCGGCUCGAGGAAUGGAGGGGAGACUGGAAUACUUGGUGUAGCAGUGAAAUGCGUAGAUAAUCAAGUGGAACACCAGUGGCGAAGGCGAGAUCUCUGGAACAUUUCCUGACGCUGAGGCACGAAAGCCAGGGGGAGCGAAACGGGA